rnacentral:rRNA from 1 species
GACGAACGCUGGCGGCGUGCUUAACACAUGCAAGUCGAGCGGUAAGGCCCUUUCGGGGGUACACGAGCGGCGAACGGGUGAGUAACACGUGGGUGACCUGCCCUCAGCUCUGGGAUAAGCCUGGGAAACCGGGUCUAAUACCGGAUAUGACUCCAUGACGCAUGUUGUGGGGUGGAAAGCCUUGUGCGGCUGAGGAUGGGCCCGCGGCCUAUCAGCUUGUUGGUGGGGUGANGGCCUACCAAGGCGACGACGGGUAGCCGGCCUGAGAGGGCGACCGGCCACACUGGGACUGAGACACGGCCCAGACUCCUACGGGAGGCAGCAGUGGGGGAAUCUUGCGCAAUGGGCGAAAGCCUGACGCAGCGACGCCGCGUGAGGGAUGACGGCCUGGUU